rnacentral:misc_RNA from 1 species
GGAAGUGGCGCAGCGCGAGCCGUACGCCAUGGCGCCGAUCUUCGUGUGGGAAUCGCCGGGGCCGGAGCCUGUCUACCGUCACAAGGCGCUGCACGACUUCUACGCCGAUUGGGAAGUGAAGGAAGUCAUCCCCGAGAUCAAAUCGCUGCCGGGCCUGAUCUGGAACGCGUUGAAGAAGGUGAUCGGGGGAUGGCUGUUUUACCUGGGCCCGGCGCUCACCGUGCCACUGCUCUUUCUGCCGCAGAUCGUCAGGCGCGACCGGCGGCUUCGGCCGCUGCUGAUCGCCAGCGCCGCGGCCUUGAUCGCGAUCGCUCUCGACGCGUGGUUUUAUCCGCAUUACGCCGCGCCGAUCGCGGGGGCGCUGUUCGUUGUGGUCGUG